CUAAGAUAUUUAAUCGGAGUGAUUCCUGAUAACUGUGUUCCUAAUUGCAUGGCGUUAUUUAGAAAAUUAAGCGUGGUCCCGCACCCCCUUGAGCACAAAUGAACUUUUCCAACGAAAAAAAAACCUUUGCAGGGGAAAUAAUUUUAUGCAUCUCGUCCAAUCCUUUUGCUGGAACCAAAUUCAUGCACCCAGCCGUACAUCAUGGCAGUCAAUUAUCAUAGCUUCAUCUGAUCAUCAAUCACAGGGGGAUGCGAGAAGUUAAGGGGCGGAGCAUUGGUCGACCCAUCGAUUGCAGUAGUUUUGUCUUUUUUCCCCCCUUGUUCACGGUCCCCUGCGCACAAAGGCCAAAACGGACUAUUCCGUUUAAUAUUUGGCUUCAUCAAUAGACAUGCAGGCUUUUGUACAUGUGACAUCACAUAUCGAUGGUUCCACCAAAAUGGCAAAAUACAUUGUCUACGGGGUAUUUGAUUUCCAAAAUUAAACAUGAAUCACGACUUUGUCAAGGCAGACAGAAUGUGUACACUUUACUUGUGCGGACACAGGGACAUAAUAACAAUGCAACUACAGAGGUCAAUAAAGCAAAAAAAAGAAUGAUUAAGAGGAUGAUGAUGAUGAUAGUGAUAACCACUGCAAUUAAACAGUUUGAUUAAACGAGGCAUCAUAACAACAAUGAUGUUGGGAAAACACCCCUCACAUAAAAAGUAAGAUAGUGCAGCGGUUGACAAACGCCAGUGGGCAUUCCAACAUUCUCCAGCCUGUAUGCCAAGGACUGCCGACAAUGUGGGACAGCAUCGAAAAUUCGCUCUCAAAAUACUUUUACGUAUUGUUCCCCCUCUUUUUAAAAAAAAACCUGAGAUGUACUGCUACUGAAGAUCCAGCAGCCUCUUCCGAGACGGUCUUCAAAUAAGUAUUCUUCUGGUACACUCCACUGACGACUUGUCCUGCACAGAAUAAGUACGGCCGAGUCCUUCGUACCAAGUGAUCUGAAAGGGAGAUAAUGACUAUAAGUCCCACGUUUGAACGGAGCACUCGACAGCAGCGACAGACCUAGAGUCUCGAAAAGUCGUCACUGUCAAGCGAAACACAGCCCAUGGCUUUCUCUGACAGAGGAAACUCAAACAUCGUUAAAAGAAAUAAUGUAGAGGAAUGCCUGGUUGUUGAGGAAGCUGUACGCCAGUGGAUGAACUGUUGUUUUGUGUAGGUCAGGUCACGGGCGAGUUUUUCUCCCGCAGAUCGUUAGGUGUAAUUGGGUACGUUUAAGUGGACUUGGGAUGCCUGUACUUAAGUUAAUAACAAUGACCUUCUUGUGGUUGUCCUGUCUUAACAUUAUUCAUCUUUGCCAGGCCGAUUUGAAAGCGAUUCCCACUCCAGUUUACCAGAGAUAUUACAAAAUACAAACCCAAUAAUAAUAUCCCGGAAAGUCCCAUCACAUUUUUGUUUGUUCUUUAAUAUUGUGUAAGCAAAGCAGAUAACAUUUCAUCUGUGUCUCCGUGUGAAUCAAUCAGAUUAAACCCAUGCUUCAGCGGUUAAUAUAUUGAUUCCUCCAAUCGCUGUGCAUGUUUUCAAAGUGCAUUGUGCCUCAUUGCAGCAGGCACUGUAAGUUAAAAUAUUUAAAAUAAAAACAUUGCUGAGUAAAA